UGGGACGCCGCGUAUGGAAGCGCAUACGACAAAACGGAUGCACGAGGAAUGGCGCCAGGAAGGCGCAAGUCACGGAUGUCAGAUUCAGUCUGCAAAGACCCUGCUUCGGCAGGGUUUU
rnacentral:sRNA from 1 species